AAAAAGUCUGAAUUGAGAAAUGUAAACUCAGAAUUCCGAGAAAAAAAGUCUGAAUUGUGAGAUGUAAACUCAGAAUUCCAAGAAAAAAGUCUGAAUUGCAAGAUGUAAACUCAGAAUUCCGAGAAAAAAAAUCUGAAUUGCGAGAUGUAAACUAAGAAUUCCAAGAAAAAAGUCUAAAUUGCGAGAUGUAAACUCAGAAUUCCGAGAAAAAAGUCUGAAUUGCGAGAUGUAAACUAAGAAUUCCAAGAAAAAAGUCUAAAUUGCGAGAUGUCAACUCAGAAU